rnacentral:rRNA from 1 species
CGCCUUAUACUCCUACGGGAGGCAGCAGUGGGGAAUAUUGGACAAUGGGCGAAAGCCUGAUCCAGCCAUGCCGCGUGUGUGAGGAAGGUCUUCGGAUUGUAAAGCACUUUAAGUUGGGAGGAAGGGCAGUAAGCUAAUACCUUACUGUUCUGACGUUACCGACAGAAUAAGCACCGGCUAACUCUGUGCCAGCAGCCGCGGUAAUACAGAGGGUGCAAGCGUUAAUCGGAAUUACUGGGCGUAAAGCGCGCGUAGGUGGUUUGUUAGGUUGGAUGUGAAAGCUCCGGGCUCAACCUGGGAACUGCAUCCAAAACUGGCAAGCUAGAGUACGGUAGAGGGUGGUGGAAUUUCCUGUGUAGCGGUGAAAUGCGUAGAUAUAGGAAGGAACACCAGUGGCGAAGGCGACCACCUGGACUGAUACUGACACUGAGGUGCGAAAGCGUGGGGAGCAAAUAGGAUUAGAAACCCCGGUAGUCCACGUACCA